AAAAUGAUUUAUGCUUUUUCAUUUCUAACUUUUCAUAAAGCACAGAAUUUCAAUGAAAAUGCAUUAUUCUGAAAAUCUUUCUCUACUGGAAAAUUUCCAGACCAAUAUCUCUUCAAAAGAGGAAAGGCUGUUAAAUAAUGGGCCCCAAUGCCAUUAUGAUACAAUCCAUUAAUUCAUAUUCAAGAUUCCCCAUGAUCCAGGAAAGCCACUGAUGCUACAGCUAUUUUCUUCACAUUUCAUAUAAGAAGAAGGAGUAAAAUUGGGAAUUCCAGCGAAAUGACAUCUGCUUACAUCUGUUGGCCAUCUCUAGCUGCCAAGGAGACUGAAAAAUAUAGGGUUUUUUUGGCCAAGUAUGUUGUUUAUCAGCACAAAAUUAUGGUGCUGCAAGUAAAAUUGAAUGGAAACAUAAAUAUUGGCACAGUAACUAGUAAUCUAUGAAACAAAGCAUAACAUCAAAUUAAUCCUCUUUCUGCAACUGUGGUGUUCUCUUCCCAUUUCCUGGUGAAGCCUUGGUAGCACCAUCCACUCAAUGAGCAACAGAAAUCUGACAGUAAUUUUUGAUAUGUAUUUUUCUCUCUCACCUCAUAUCCAAUCAUGAAAAUAUUCUCAGAAUUCUCUCUCUUUUUAUAAUGUCAGCCAGAUUAUGUGCUGAUAGCAUAAGAAGGUUUGAGGAAGGCAUGUCUCACACAUGAGUCUGAAAACCUAAUCAUCACACUUGUGAACCACAAAAAGAUCUCUCAGGAUGCUUAACUACCUUCAACUUGGGUCCUUUAACUGCAUGACACUCUAGCUCCAGCUACAUGUUUUUUUCCUUGCACUUUCAAUCCAAAACAUUAAAACCUAUCAGAUAUAUUCAUGAUCAGUUUCUCAUUAGUUUCUUGAUCCUUUGCAAUUUGUUUUCUAUUGCUUUUCUCCAGUCUGCACACCCCUUAAAAAGGUAUUCAAGGACAUCGACUUGCUAAAUCAAGUAAAACUUCCAAUUUUCAUUUUAUUCAUUCUCACUGAAGCUUAAGGCUCUAUUGCUCACCUCCUACCAUCUUGAACCUCUUUUAUCCUUUUGACUCCACUUUUACCAUCCAUUCUUUCUUCCUUCCUAUAACUUUAUAGGAACUCCUCUUUCUCUUCUAUGUCAAUUAACUCACCUGUAUUUAGGAUACUAUUUAUUAUUAUUGCCUUAGAAACUAUAAAUAAUCAUCUGUCUUCUUUAUAUUUGACCACUUUAUAUAAAAUAAGUUAAUCCCAACGAUAUUCAAAUAUCCUGUAUUAAGCAGAGUGGCUCUCAAAAGAUGUCCAUGCCUUGAUCCCUAGAAUGUAUGUGUACAUUAGAUAAACUAGAAUGGAUUUUCCAAUGUAAAUAAGGUUAUAGAUCUUAAAAUAAGAUGAUUAUAUUGUAUUAUCUGGUUGGCCCAGUCUAAUCACAUAAAUCCUUAAAGGAAAGGAAGGAGUGUAGUGGAAUAAAACAAUGGAGUUUAGAAGUGUAAAAGAGAUUUGACCUGGACGACCUGGAAGGGCUAAAUGGAAAGCAUGCGAAGAAAUGAAGACAACCCCUGGGAGCAAAAAUUUGCUCCCAGCUGACAGAAAGGAAGUGAGAACCUGAGUCCUACAACCUCGAGGAACAAAAUUCAGCCAAUACCCUGAAUAUGCUAAGAAGCGGAUAUUUCCUUAGAGGCUCCAGCAGGGAAAGCAGCCUUGCAAAAACUUAAUUUCUGCCUCUCAGAGUUUUGACUUACAGAUACUUUGUAAUAAUAAAUUUAUGUUGUUUUGAGCUGCUC
rnacentral:lncRNA from 10 species